GUAAGCCUACGGGAGGCAGCAGUAGGGAAUAUUGCUCAAUGGGGGAAACCCUGAAGCAGCAACGCCGCGUGGAGGAUGAAGGUUUUCGGAUUGUAAACUCCUCUUGUUAGAGAAGAUAAUGACGGUAUCUAACGAAUAAGCACCGGCUAACUCCGUGCCAGCAGCCUCGGUAAUACGGAGGGUGCAAGCGUUACUCGGAAUCACUGGGCGUAAAGAGCGCGUAGGCGGGAUAGCAAGUCAGAUGUGAGAUCCUAUGGCUUAACCAUAGAACUGCAUUUGAAACUGUUAUUCUAGAGUAUGGGAGG
rnacentral:rRNA from 1 species